UCUGACUUGGCACCAGUACCUCCUGAUCCCCAGCGCCACACUUGAGCAGUCCCACGUAUACACCUCCGACCGCUGCCUGCACCCUCCUACGAGGCUCAAAAUGUUAUUUUAUACUCACUAAAGAGGGCCACAUUUUUCAUUUUCUAAAAUUAAGAAUUUAACACAUGUGCAUGCUAAACACACGCUGAAUGCAUGUCUAAUAUAGACAUUGAAUCACUUAAGUAUAAUUUAAUGGAUGAAAAUUUACCUCAAGGGCACCCAUGGUCAAGAGCAGGAUCAUGAUGAGAUGGUGAAGGCAACAGAGCACCUGGGAUUGAUGGGGAAGGUGUGCCUUGUAUGAACCUUGCUCUUAGAAAGCAAUGUUCGACAUUUUGACCAUAAGUAAUAGCGCAACACAUUUUAUUUCUAUCCUAAGCUAUACAUUGCUAUAAGGAGCAUUUGUAGUGUGGUGAUCUAAAGCAACAUGCUUACUGUAAUGCAAGCAAAAAAAAAACAAGUUGCCUGCUGCUUGCUACCAUCUAACAAGAGCCAGAGAUAAACUCGUACAUCUCAUAUGAGCAAGAUCCACAAGCAACUGGAGAAGUAAAUUUAGACAUCUCAAUGCGAUUUUCAAAUCAGAACAUCUAACAACACAUAAAAGUAUAAGAUGCUACUCUCGCCUAUAUGCUUUAUCAGAAUAUCUGAGGUUAAAAUCUGAUAGAGCAUCGAAGUCAU
rnacentral:lncRNA from 1 species